rnacentral:misc_RNA from 1 species
UGGGCAAAUAUGAAACUAGAUCUCGCCAUGCAUCAGAACGGCCUGAUUCUUCUGUAAGAGCAACAGAGCAGCAAAAACAAGAGAAGUGAGGACACGGAUCAUCCACAUAUAUCAGCACAUACAUGAUCCUCCGUAUGAAUUCUCUUUAGAUGAUGAAUUCUCUUUUGAUGAAGAUGGAGGGUGGUUCGUCGAGUAUUUAUACUGACUUAACUUCCUUCCAGAGCCAACUUUCCUCAGGAAAAGGUUCUAACAGCCCAUUGUCCCUCUUUGCCUUCUUCUGAAUCAGAGAAUAGUCUUGUAACCAACUGAAAAUUGUAAAUUAUUGACCAAAAAUGGAAGCUAAAUUUUCAAAAGAGAGGGCUCACAUUGACAGUAUCUG